rnacentral:rRNA from 1 species
AUUGAACGCUGGCGGCCGGCCUAACACAUGCAAGUCGAGCGAGCGGCGGACGGGUGAGUAAUGUAUGGGGACUGCCCGAUAUAGGGGGAUAACUCCUGGAAACGGUUGCUAAUAUCGCAUACUCUCUGAUAACUCCUAUGGGAUUAGCUAGUAGGUGAGGUAAUGGCUCACCUAGUCGACGAUCCCUAGCUGGUCUGAGAGGAUGAUCAGCCACACUGGGACUGAGACACGGCCCAGACUCCUACGGAGGCAGCAGUGGGGAAUAUUGCACAAUGGGCGCAAGCCUGAUGCAGCCAUGCCGCGUGUAUGAAGAAGGCCCUAGGGUUGUAAAGUACUUUUGGCAGAGAAGCGGUAUCUGCAGAAUAAGCACCGGCUAACUACGUGCCAGCAGCCGCGGUAAUAC